GACCAUCAAGCACUUUCAAGUCCAGCUGAAGUAGAGUGAAAGAAAAUCAUUUCUGAGAGUUAUGAAAGGUCAUGAGUGAGGAAAUGCAUUCCAGGUACUCCCGAAGACAUUUGGACACACACGGUGAAUGACACAUGAAGAUGGAGGCAGAGAUCGGAAUGAUGUAUCUACAAGCGAUGGUCCACCAAAGAUGAUCAGCAAACCACCGGAAGCUGGGACAGAGGUCUGGAACAGAGCCUCCCUCACAUCCCUCAGAAGGAACCAACCCUGCCAGCACCUUAAUCUCACACUUCUAGCCUACAGAAUUCUGAGACAACACAUUUCUGUUGGGUACACAGAGACACAUAUUAAAUAAACCUUCUACAAGAGUAACCCGUCCAGAAAUGCAGCAAGAGGCUUCCAAAGGGCUAGAUUUAUUACAAAUUAA
rnacentral:lncRNA from 10 species